CGUCAUUCAAUACCAGGAGUGCCUAAUCAUCCAUCAUCCAUUCGUGCAAUCAGUAAGCAUUUACGGAACAUGUACCUGCGCUUCCUCCUGUCCUGGGCCCUGGAGGCAAAGCAGUUUGGGCCUCUGCCCUAACAUGGAUCACAUUCUUGUGGAGAAGCUGGGGAGGAAAUGGAAAAUUACGGUGGAGCGUGUUGAGAGCUGCAGCAGGCACACAGCUUGUGUGCACAUACUCUGCCCUGGGGAUGACGGAUGGAGAAAUUCCGCAGGGGAGGUGCUAUGCUGCUGCUGCUGCCGCUGCUGCGUGGCUUCAGUUGUGUCCGACUCUGUGCGACCCCAGAGACGGCAGCCCACCAGGCUCCCCUGUCCCUGGGAUUCUCCAGGCAAGAACUCUGGAGUGGGUUGCCAUUUCCUUCUCCAGUGCAUGAAAGUGAAAAGUGAAAGUGAAGUCGCUCAGUCGUGCCCGACUCUUCGCGACCCUAUGGACUGCAGCCUACCAGCCUCCUCCGUCCAUGGGAUUUUCCAGGCAAGAAUACUGGAAUGGGGGGGGCCAUCGCCUUCUCCGGGGAGGUGCUAUAGAGAAGGAAUAAUCCCCUCUAGAGUGGAGAAAGUCCCGAGUAAUCCUUCAGAAAAAGUGGCAGCUGACCUGGGAAACGCUGCGAUUCGGCGGGGUCAGGCAGAGCAAGGCAUCAGGCCAUGUGCCGUGGGCUGGCAGAAGUGGAGAAGCUCAGUAAGUGAUGUCGUGAUGUGCUGGAAAACAGGCUUUUAUUGUGCCGUGUGUACCAAGACUUAUGUUUUAUCUUCCCGAAAAGAGCCAGCAUACUUUAUUUUCUGCGCGUACCUCUCUCCGCCUCUCCUCCCCGCUUACUGAGAUUUAAGUCGGCUAUUGUAGCGCUCUAUCUCUGAUCAGCCUUAAAGAUCUGAAAAGCCCUGAGUUUGCAAGAUGGAAAAAAGGCCUCCGGGUUUGACAGUGAUAGAUCCUGCUCGUCCCCUCAGGAGGAUGGCCACAGAGCCUUCGGAUGACAAGCUACACCCCCUGCUCUCCUGUGCCUUUCUGAAGAGGUCAAGGCACCUGCAGGGGGCAAAGGAAUUGCCCAACAAGCUCAGCCUGGGCUGCGCUUACCCGGCACAGUGGUGAUGCUUCAGAUUAGAUGCGACAAGUUUGGAGUGAAAGGGAUCAUGGAGAGCCAGUCCUGGAACUCAAGGAUUGCAUCAGGGGAGGCAUGCUCAGUCGCUCAGUCGUGUCUGACUCUGCAACCCCAUGGACUGCAGCCUGCCAGGCUUCUCUGCCCUUGGAAUUCUCCAGGAAAGGAUAGUGGAGUGGGUUGUCAUUUUCCUUCCUCACGGGGUCUUCCCAACCCAGGGCUCAAACCGUCAUCUCUUGCAUUGAAAGGCAGAUUCUUUACCACUAGUGCCACCUGGGAAGCCUGUUAUCAAGGAAAACAAGGUUUAAAGUGCAAAAAUGAUCCUUUAAACUUAGACCCAAAUCCCUACUCAGCUGCUUUCAAGAAGUGUGACUUUGGCCUGGAUGGGAGGAGAGCUGGGGGAGAAUGGAUGGAUGGAUGUGUACGUAUGGCUUAAUCCCUUUGCUGUUCACCUGAAACUAUCACAUUGUUAAUGGCUAUACCCCCAAUAAAAAAUAAAAAAUAAAAAAAAAAGAAGUGUG
rnacentral:lncRNA from 1 species